AUGUUUUCUCAUGAUUCAGAAAUGUGAUGAUUGAGUUUUCAUGUCAUUGUGAGGGAUAGGCUUCCCUCAAACUGUGUUACCACAGCAGGAUGUUACUUGUCUGACA